rnacentral:lncRNA from 10 species
CACGGAUCCACACGCUCCCUGACCCACACCCUCCACCUGGCACAGUGCCAUACAGACCCACACCCUCCCCCAGCACAGGUGCCACACGGACCCACACCUGGCACGCAUGCCACAGAGACCCACACGGACCCAAAUGCUGCCCCCAGCACAGGUGCCACACAAGCCCCGCUCAGCAUUGGUCCUGGGACUCCUGAGCCCUCCACACCCCACUCCUCAGCCUCCACCCAUCCACCGCCCAGGCAGCUGCCAUUUGCUCACCCUCCAAGUCACCUGUGAAGUGGCCUAAUACUGAGAAGGCAGAGGCUGCUGCCCGGCCCUCACAUCCUCACAGUCACAACUGCCUGCUUUGGGAGCUAGCGAGUGUUGAGAAGCUGCUGUAACCCGCCUGCAAAAGGCCCAACUUGUGACAGACACUGCGAUCCUCCCCCUGACUCUGGAAAACACUGUCUGAAACCACAGUGACCCUAAGACUGUCUUAAAAACAAAAUGAGAAGGGAGUCAAAGCAACGUACUGCAAAAAAGUCGACUACACACAAAGGUAGCAAGGGAGAACGUGAGCGACCAGAAACAUGGCAGAAGCUCCCCCUCAGUAACUGCUUUGAAAGCGAAUGGACUGAUCGCUCCAACAAAAGGCAGAUUGGCAAAGUGGGUGAAAAGACGAUUUCCAUGUUGUCACCACACGAUCUGCAAGACGUUCAAAGACACGAACAGGCUGGAAGUGAAAGGAUGAAGAAACCCAGGCAAAGAGUAACCUAAAGAGAGCUGAGGCGACUCUUAAACUCACAGCAGAUAAGUUUUCUAUUUUUUGAGACGGAGUCUUGCUCUGUUGCCGGGGCUGGAGUGCAACACAUCCACCCUCAACAAAAAGUCGUUACAAGAGACAGCAUUAUAUAUGGAUAAAAGAGUCAAUUCAUCAAUAAAAAUGUAAAAAUUAUAAACAUGCACCCAAUAAGAAAGCCCAAAAAUGUAAACGUUGGCAGAAUGGAAGGGACAGACAACAAACAGUUCUAUCUAUAGUAAGAGUUGGAGACUUAAACACACCACUUAAUAAUGGAUAGACCAUCUAGGGUUGGGAGCGGUGGCUCAUGCCUGUAAUCCCAGCACUUUGGGAGGCCGAGGCAGGUGGAUCACGAGGUCAGGCGAUCAAGACCAUCCUGGCUAACACGGUGAAACCCCGUCUCUACUAAAAAUACAAAAAA